AAGGCCCUCGGGUUGUAAAGCACUUUCAGUGAGGAAGAACGCCUGGUGGUUAAUACCCAUCAGGAAAGACAUCACUCACAGAAGAAGCACCGGCUAACUCCGUGCCAGCAGCCGCGGUAAUACGGAGGGUGCGAGCGUUAAUCGGAAUUACUGGGCGUAAAGCGCGCGUAGGUGGCUUGAUAAGCCGGUUGUGAAAGCCCCGGGCUCAACCUGGGAACGGCAUCCGGAACUGUCAAGCUAGAGUGCAGGAGAGGAAGGUAGAAUUCCCGGUGUAGCGGUGAAAUGCGUAGAGAUCGGGAGGAAUACCAGUGGCGAAGGCGGCCUUCUGGACUGACACUGACACUGAGGUGCGAAAGCGUGGGUAGCAAACAGGAUUAGAUACCCUGGUAGUCCACGCCGUAAACGAUGUCGACCAGCCGUUGGGUGCCUAGCGCACUUUGUGGCGAAGUUAACGCGAUAAGUCGACCGCCUGGGGAGUACGGCCGCAAGGUUAAAACUCAAAUGAAUUGACGGGGGCCCGCACAAGCGGUGGAGCAUGUGGUUUAAUUCGAUGCAACGCGAAGAACCUUACCUACUCUUGACAUCCUGCGAACUUGUGAGAGAUCACUUGGUGCCUUCGGGAACGCAGAGACAGGUGCUGCAUGGCUGUCGUCAGCUCGUGUUGUGAAAUGUUGGGUUAAGUCCCGUAACGAGCGCAACCCUUGUCCUUAUUUGCCAGCGCGUAAAGGCGGGAACUCUAAGGAGACUGCCGGUGACAAACCGGAGGAAGGUGGGGACGACGUCAAGUCAUCAUGGCCCUUACGAGUAGGGCUACACACGUGCUACAAUGGUCGGUACAAAGGGUUGCCAACUCGCGAGAGUGAGCCAAUCCCGAAAAGCCGAUCUCAGUCCGGAUCGGAGUCUGCAACUCGACUCCGUGAAGUCGGAAUCGCUAGUAAUCGUGGAUCA
rnacentral:rRNA from 1 species